rnacentral:rRNA from 1 species
GACGAACGCUGGCGGCGUGCUUAACACAUGCAAGUCGAACGGAAAGGCCCUGCUUUUGUGGGGUGCUCGAGUGGCGAACGGGUGAGUAACACGUGAGUAACCUGCCCUUGACUUUGGGAUAACUUCAGGAAACUGGGGCUAAUACCGGAUAGGAGCUCCUGCUGCAUGGUGGGGGUUGGAAAGUUUCGGCGGUUGGGGAUGGACUCGCGGCUUAUCAGCUUGUUGGUGGGGUAGUGGCUUACCAAGGCUUUGACGGGUAGCCGGCCUGAGAGGGUGACCGGCCACAUUGGGACUGGGAUACGGCAGACUCCUACGGGAGGCAGCAGUGGGGAAUAUUGCACAAUGGGCGGAAGCCUGAUGCAGCAACGCCGCGUGCGGGAUGACGGCCUUCGGGUUGUAAACCGCUUUCGCCUGUGACGAAGCGUGAGUGACGGUAAUGGGUAAAGAAGCACCGGCUAACUACGUG